rnacentral:rRNA from 1 species
CCUACGGGAGGCAGCAGUGGGGAAUAUUGGACAAUGGGCGAAAGCCUGAUCCAGCCAUGCCGCGUGUGUGAAGAAGGCCUUCGGGUUGUAAAGCACUUUCAGUGGGGAAGAAAGCCUUGGGGCUAAUACCCUCGAGGAAGGACAUCACCCACAGAAGAAGCACCGGCUAACUCCGUGCCAGCAGCCGCGGUAAUACGGAGGGUGCGAGCGUUAAUCGGAAUUACUGGGCGUAAAGCGCGCGUAGGCGGUCUGAUAAGCCGGUUGUGAAAGCCCCGGGCUCAACCUGGGAACGGCAUCCGGAACUGUCAGGCUAGAGUGCAGGAGAGGAAGGUAGAAUUCCCGGUGUAGCGGUGAAAUGCGUAGAGAUCGGGAGGAAUACCAGUGGCGAAGGCGGCCUUCUGGACUGACACUGACGCUGAGGUGCGAAAGCGUGGGUAGCAAACAGGAUUAGAUACCCUUGUAGU